UAUCAAGGUGUAGGAGAACACCGUCGUUUGGAGCUGUAGAUUUAUGCAGCGUCUUUAUAGCAGCUCAGUGGAUGCAUUCUUGCAAAGGAGGAGUGUUUAUUGGUGACAGACAUGGGUGCUAGUUGGACACAGAGCUGGAAGGAGGAGUUCAAAGCUCACAAACUCCACCUUCUCACCUCUAAACCAGAGCUGCUUCUUCAGCCACGGUGGGAGAUUCCUCCAUUGUUGUGGCUUCUGUACAAAUGUUUUAUGCUGGUCUACACCUUCAGCUGGUUUAUCUACACGGCUCUUCUCUUCGACACACCUAAAUUCCUCAUAUUUCUCAGCCAUAUCUCAUACUGUCUUAUGGUUAUCUACUAUCUGGUUUCUCUCUGUAAUCUGGCCUGGGCUUUCUUGGAAAUCAGAUGCUCCUCCCACAGAAUGAAAAGAGGUGUCAGUAGUGAAUGUGAGAGCCUCCUGUCUCUUCCCGUCCCUCUCACCGCUGCUCUCUGUCUGCAGUGGCUCCUGCAUUCUGUAAUGGGCUGUUUUUCAUUAACUGUCUCCUUUCUAUACUGGACCAUAAUCCACCCCUUUGAUCAGCACUCCUUCACAGCCUUCAACAUCAACAUCCAUGUUAUCAACAGCAUCCAGACCGCCGUGGAUCUGUUGUUGUCCUCCACACCUGUUCAUCUCAUCCACUUCUUCUACGCUGUGCUGGCCGGAGCUCUUUAUGUAUUAUUUGCUGUUGUUUAUUGGCUAAUGGGUGGCACAAACAUGUUUGGUCAACCUUACAUCUACAGCAUUCUUGAUUUCAGUGGGCGCCCCCUAGUGGCAACACUUUGCAUUCUGGGAGUUUGUCUGCUUUGUUUUCCAUCCUGUCACUUUGUGCUGUGGAACCUGCACUUACUGUGGGAGUGGAUGGUGAGCAGAGAGAAAGCGAGGAGAAUUGCUUUAAGGAGGGAGGUUUGGUGGUGUGUGAAGGUGUCUGGAGGAACAACCUUUGACCUCGUGCCUUCCCUGGAUCCAGCAGCCUCUGUGUUUGAGACGAGCAGGAGGACAGACAUGAUGGAGGAACAACAGUCACAAUCACUCACUCUUGUUUGAAGGAGUUUCUGGUCUGUCUGAAUCUGCAUGUUCUUAUUUUAGCAAGAUUUUAAGAUUUUUCUGAUGCUAAUAUCUUCCGAUCUCUUCCAAAGCUAAAUCAUAAACUCUUUGGACUUGACUCUGUUUGCUCCAAAUGUUCUUUGUCUGAAAUGCCCUACAACAGUUUUCAGGGAAAGCAACCCACACUGUGGAGAAAACAUCUGAAUUUUAAUGGGGGGAAAAUGACACUCUCAGAAAGAAAAGGUACAAAAGUUGUCAAUGCAGUUUGGAGACCCCUGGUUUAGGUAGUAUUAUGUACCUUUAAGGUACCAAUAUGGACCCUUUAGGUGCAUAAGUCUACUUUUUAAAAAGGUACCAUCUCAGUGACAGCUUUUGUAUUUUUAUUACAAAAAUUAAAAAUGAACCUUUUUCUUGACCUGAUUUAUUAUUUAUAUACCAACCUACUGAAGUACUAAAUCUGUUUUGUACUUUUAUAAUACACUGACAACCUCCAUAAAUCUGAGGCAGUAAUCACUCAUCACAACUAGCUUUUCCACAAGCUGAGGUCAAUAUUAAGAUAAUAUAGUAGGUGCACACUAAUACAAAACACACAACACUCAAAUAAUGCAAUAAACAUUAACAACUUAAGCUGAAACAUAAAACCAUAAUGUACAUGUAUGACGAGAAAAAAGUUCACAUCCAAAAACUGUUAACAGUAUAUAACUGCUUAAACAAUAUUUUACUGUAAAAUUACAUCUAAACCAGUCCCUUAAGAUUUAUUACAGCUUUUUACCGUAUGCAACAGCGAUGGUUUGGCUGUUCUUGUCAUUGUAUAAAACUGGGACAGGAGGAUGUAUUUUAAUGUUUAAUGUAUUUUAUUUUUAUGUACAUUUCCAUGUGAUAUGAUCAGGUGUUUCAUAAAUGCAGCAACAAUCUAAUGUACCAACCUGGGGUUCAGGCUCUUGUUUUCACAGGUACAGUGGUGAUAUAGAGGGCAUAUCUGGUGAUAUCUUUCUCAGGCAUUUUCUAGGUCACUGUAAUAGAAACUUAACCUGUCUUUUCAUCUGUAGGUUAGAUGAAUC
ensembl:lncRNA